rnacentral:rRNA from 1 species
GGCGAACGCUGGCGGCGUGCUUAACACAUGCAAGUCGAACGGAAAGGCCCUGCUUUUGUGGGGUGCUCGAGUGGCGAACGGGUGAGUAACACGUGAGUAACCUGCCCUUGACUUUGGGAUAACUUCAGGAGACUGGGGCUAAUACCGGAUAGGAGCUCCUGCUGCAUGGUGGGGGUUGGAAAGUUUCGGCGGUUGGGGAUGGACUCGCGGCUUAUCAGCUUGUUGGUGGGGUAGUGGCUUACCAAGGCUUUGACGGGUAGCCGGCCUGAGAGGGUGACCGGCCACAUUGGGACUGAGAUACGGCCCAGACUCCUACGGGAGGCAGCAGUGGGGAAUAUUGCACAACGGGCGGAAGCCUGAUGCAGCAACGCCGCGUGCGGGAUGACGGCCUUCGGGUUGUAAACCGCUUUCGCCUGUGACGAAGCGUGAGUGACGGUAAUGGGUAAAGAAGCACCGGCUAACUACGUG